UACGAAGGGGGCUAGCGUUGCUCGGAAUCACUGGGCGUAAAGGGUGCGUAGGCGGGUCUUUAAGUCAGGGGUGAAAUCCUGGAGCUCAACUCCAGAACUGCCUUUGAUACUGAGAAUCUUGAGUAUGGGAGAGGUGAGUGGAACUGCGAGUGUAGAGGUGAAAUUCGUAGAUAUUCGCAAGAACACCAGUGGCGAAGGCGGCUCACUGGCCCAUAACUGACGCUGAGGCACGAAAGCGUGGGGAGCAAACAGG
rnacentral:rRNA from 1 species